rnacentral:rRNA from 1 species
UACGGAGGGGGCUAGCGUUGUUCGGAAUUACUGGGCGUAAAGCGCGCGUAGGCGGCUUUGCAAGUUAGAGGUGAAAGCCCGGGGCUCAACUCCGGAAUUGCCUUUAAAACUGCAUCGCUAGAAUUGUGGAGAGGUAAGUGGAAUUCCGAGUGUAGAGGUGAAAUUCGUAGAUAUUCGGAAGAACACCAGUGGCGAAGGCGACUUACUGGACACAUAUUGACGCUGAGGUGCGAAAGCGUGGGGAGCAAACAGG